rnacentral:lncRNA from 10 species
GGCCCUUCACAAGUUUUAGUAUAACACCAGUGAGAAAAAUUUGCAGAUUGUUCUGUGUAGACCAGAAAUCAGAAGGUGAUAAAGGGGCAAUUAGAUUUGAAUAAUCCGGAGAUAUGAAGUGUAUUUGGUAUUCACCUCCUUCUAUUUCUCUAUGAAGACAAAAUGGAUAGAUGACCUCUCCAUGUGAAAUGGGACACAUAAGUUUUUAAGAUGAUUCUGAAAGAAAGUUCCUUAUACAAUCACUCAGGUGAUGUUCCAAACACAGGGCUGUGGAGGGGAUGGUGGCUGCCGGUGGUUGCUGUCAGCCACAGGGUUGGUUUGUUUCCCACAGGUUCCAGAAAUAGUUUCUAAUAACAAAUGUCAUAUUUUGUUUAGAAUUGAUUUAUUUUUUAUAAUUUAUUUUCUCCCUGUAGGCAGCACUCAGAAGUAUGUUCUCAGAAUAAUUCCUGAUCCUCUGUGAGUUCCUGGUGCAGCUCCUGGAGGCAAAGCCUGCAUGGGGGAGGGAGCCCUCCUCACAUGCAGCCCUGAGGCUGCCACGUCACUUCACCCACCGUUGCCCUUCAGUCACUUCCUGAACACUUAUGAGUUGAUCUUCCUGAAACAUGUGGUAUUUGGCAGUGUCUUUCCCAGGCUGCACCCUUUACAAGGAGUCUCCAGUGGUACAGCGGAUUUUCCUCCAUCCUCCACUCCCCCUCCUGGCUGCAGCAUCCACAGAUUAUUUUCUUGAAUCUGACCCCAGUUGUUUAUUAAUUAUACCCCUUUUCAUGACACGGGAAGGCUAAGAUGAAGCUGUCUGGGAUGGAAAAGAAUCCCUUCCUCUCACAUAGAAUAAAGAUCUUGAAAAGUA